rfam:Prunus persica cultivar Lovell chromosome G5, whole genome shotgun sequence.
AAAAAUGUGGGAUGUUGGAAUGGCUCAAUCAAAUCAAAUCUCCCAAGUAUUGGGUCCUUUGAUUUGAUUGAGCCGUGCCAAUAUCACAGUUGCCUUU